rnacentral:rRNA from 1 species
GAUGAACGCUGGCGGCGUGCCUAAUACAUGCAAGUCGAGCGGUAAGGCUCCUGCAGGUCAUUUUACACCGAGACUGGUCGCGAUUACGUAAGUAAUCGCAUCACCACGAAAGGAUUGAAUGGCGUGCUGGAGUACACGAGCGGCGGACGGCUGAGUAACACGUAGGAACGUACCCCAAAGUGAGGGAUAAGCUCCAGAAAUGGUGUCUAAUACCGCAUGUGANCUUCGGAUUAAAGCUUCGGCGCUUUGGGAACGGCCUGCGCAUGAUUAGCCUGUUGGUGAGGUAAUGGCUCACCAAGGCGACGAUCAUUAGCUGGUCUGA